rnacentral:rRNA from 1 species
UGGGGAAUAUUGCACAAUGGGCGCAAGCCUGAUGCAGCCAUGCCGCGUGUAUGAAGAAGGCCUUCGGGUUGUAAAGCACUUUCAGCGGGGAGGAAGGCGUUAAGGUUAAUAACCUUGGCGAUUGACGUUACCCGCAGAAGAAGCACCGGCUAACUCCGUGCCAGCAGCCGCGGUAAUACGGAGGGUGCAAGCGUUAAUCGGAAUUACUGGGCGUAAAGCGCACGCAGGCGGUUGAUUGAGUCAGAUGUGAAAUCCCCGGGCUUAACCCGGGAAUUGCAUCUGAUACUGGUCAGCUAGAGUCUUGUAGAGGGGGGUAGAAUUCCAUGGGUAGCGGUGAAAUGCGUAGAGAUGUGGAGGAAUACCGGUGGCGAAGGCGGCCCCCUGGACAAAGACUAACGCUCAGGUGCGAAAGCGUGGGGAGCAAACAGG